ACACACACACACACAGGCGGCGGGUGUUUUUGAGACAGUGCGCGAAGCAGAAAUCCGAGGAAAUGUGGUGAUAUAACAACAGGUGAAGAGAGAAACUAGUGCAGUCUUGCUGGAUCAGCCGGUUUAUUUUCUGUUUACAUGCUGGUUUACCUCAUGGCAACCACAACAUGUUUCCUUCAAUCCUAGGACCUCAGAUUUCAAGAAAGUCAUGCAGGAGCGGCACGCUGCACCAUAACAAGGCUCCUUGGAGAUAGAGGAAUGCAAAUCUGCAAUCAUGAUGGAAGGUGAGGGCUUGGUCUAUUUUUAUCUUAUUGCUUCUCGUUGCGUGUACGGCCCAGUGUGUGCUGGCUUUAAAUGCCAUAA